UGUACAACUUUUAUUUUGAAGAAAAAAGUUGAGCCUCAGAACGGGCUGUUUUAAAGACAGGGAGGGACUUAGCUUUUCCGAGCUUGACCAGCAUGUGGAAGGAGUGCUCUCAUGGCUGCAAUAACCUAGGGAGCUCCUACCUGGGUGCCACGGGGGUAGGAAGGUUUCUGUUUGUUUUCUUCUGUUUCUGAGGGUCCUGUGCACUUCUCUUGUCCCUGUCAACGUGACUCGGUGUUUUUGCACACCCUGCUCUGUCGGGGAGUGCCCCAACGUGCCUGUCUUAUGUGGCCUCUAUGGACACACUGCUCAGCUGGCAGAGAGCAGGGAAGUUUUCUCGAGCACCCAAAAAGAGAAAGAGAAAACUACUUUUUCCUUCUGGGCUCCUUGCAGCACAAUAGAUCAGGAUAAGCUUCCACAUUCUCUCCCUGGAUUUCUGGAGUGGUUUCCAGGAACAAGUUAAACUUUCACCUUUAAAUGGAUGACCAUGUCACAAUCAGGAGGAAACAUCUCCAAAGACCCAUCUUUAGACUAAGAUGCUUAGUGAAGCAGCUGGAAAAAGGUGAUGUUAACAUCGUAGACUUAAAGAAGAAUAUUGAAUAUGCAGCAUCUGUGCUGGAAGCAGUUUACAUCGAUGAAACAAGAAGACUGCUGGAUACUGAUGAUGAGCUCAGUGACAUUCAGUCGGAUUCGGUCCCAUCGGAAGUCCGGGACUGGUUGGCUUCCACCUUUACACGGAAAAUGGGGAUGAUGAAAAAGAAAUCUGAGGAAAAACCAAGAUUUCGGAGCAUUGUGCAUGCUGUUCAAGCUGGAAUUUUUGUGGAAAGAAUGUACAGAAAAUCCUAUCACAUGGUUGGGUUGGCAUAUCCAGAAGCUGUCAUAGUAACAUUAAAGGAUGUUGAUAAAUGGUCUUUUGAUGUAUUUGCCUUGAAUGAAGCAAGUGGAGAACAUAGUCUGAAGUUUAUGAUUUAUGAACUAUUUACCAGAUAUGAUCUUAUCAACCGUUUCAAGAUUCCUGUUUCUUGCCUAAUUGCCUUUGCAGAAGCUUUAGAAGUUGGUUACAGCAAGUACAAAAAUCCGUAUCACAAUUUGAUUCAUGCAGCUGAUGUCACUCAAACUGUGCAUUACAUAAUGCUUCAUACAGGUAUAAUGCACUGGCUCACUGAACUGGAAACUUUAGCAAUGGUCUUUGCCGCUGCCAUUCAUGAUUAUGAGCAUACGGGAACUACAAACAAUUUUCAUAUUCAGACAAGAUCAGAUGUUGCCAUUUUGUAUAAUGAUCGCUCCGUCCUUGAAAAUCACCAUGUGAGUGCAGCUUAUCGACUUAUGCAAGAAGAAGAAAUGAAUGUCCUGGUAAAUUUAUCCAAAGAUGACUGGAGGGAUCUUCGGAACCUAGUGAUUGAAAUGGUUUUGUCUACAGACAUGUCGGGUCACUUCCAGCAAAUUAAAAAUAUAAGAAACAGUUUGCAGCAGCCUGAAGGGCUUGACAAAGCCAAAACCAUGUCCCUGAUCCUCCAUGCAGCAGACAUCAGUCAUCCAGCCAAAUCCUGGCAGCUGCACCACCGAUGGACCAUGGCCCUGAUGGAGGAGUUUUUCCUACAGGGAGAUAAAGAAGCUGAAUUAGGGCUUCCAUUUUCCCCACUUUGUGAUCGGAAGUCAACGAUGGUGGCCCAGUCCCAAAUAGGUUUCAUUGAUUUCAUAGUAGAGCCAACAUUUUCUCUUCUGACAGACUCAACAGAGAAAAUUAUUAUUCCUCUUAUAGAGGAAGACUCAAAAACCAAAACUCCUUCCUAUGGAGCAAGCAGACGAUCAAAUAUGAAAGGCACCGUGAAUGAUGGAACCUAUUCCCCAGACUACUCCCUUGCAAGCGUGGACCUGAAGAGCUUCAAAAACAACCUGGUGGACAUCAUCCAGCAGAACAAAGAGAGGUGGAAAGAGUUAGCUGCUCAAGGUGAGCCUGAUCUUCAUAAGAAUUCAGAAGAUCUAGUAAGUGCCGAAGAAAAACAUGCUGAGACACAUUCAUAGGUUUGAAACACCUUAAAGGCUUCUGUCAUUUUAAACAUGAGAGGUGAAUGGAUAAAGAAGAUGUGGCACAUAUAUACAAUGGAAUAUAACUCAGCCAUAAAAAGAAACGAAAUUGAGUUAUUUGUAGUGAGGUGGAUGGACCUAGAGACUGUCAUACAGAGUGAAGAUAAUGAGAACAGCACUAAAAUAUCCUAAAUCCUCAAUUUUCCACAAACCUAUAUUCUCCUCUUUCAACACACACUUGGAAACAGGCCAUUUUAUGGACUCAUAUAAGAGAAGAACAUAAAUUCUGAACUAGUAAUUCUAGCCAAAUAAAUACACUCAAAGUUGCUACCAGAGAUUUUGGCCAGUGCUUCUGCCAUUGCUCUUCCUCCACAAUUUGGCCUUCUUCAAUCAAGCCAGAGAAAAUUUUAAGACAAAAGUUGGACAGUUUUAAUUUUUCAUCAGUUUGAACCCAGUUAUUGCACAGGCAACUAUGCAAUAUGUGUGCAGAAGAUGAGGCAUUUUAAAAUGUUACUUUCUUGCUUUGUUUUAUACAGAGUGCUGUAACUACAGUAAAUUUUUUAAGAUGUUAAGUAAAAGGAAAGCAAAAACAAAAUUAUAGAAAAAUAUUUUUUGCAGCUCUGAGGCUAUUUCGAUUGUCCUUGUUAUUUUAAAUACAUGGGAACAAAGUGAGAGCCUGGGCUGCUCAGAAGCUGUGGUUGAAGUCCUAUAACAACAAUGGAGCAUCAGAGCUCUGGCUCUGUGACCUGAUGAACUCUUCAUUGUAACUCUCAAGCUGGGAAACCACAGUGAAACCUGCCCCUGAAAGCAGUGGACCAGCCUGCAUCCAUCCCUGUGAUUUCAAGGCACUAAUGCAUCACCUACAUGGGUGUCAUCACAAUGCAAGUCACACAUUACCUACGAUCCAAGAUGACAAGAACCUCCAGCCAUUGUUGGAGACAGACACUAGAACUGAGAAUGGAAUUUGCCUUCUGGGGUGUUGAUCCCAUCAGGAUGUAACAAAAUAUAUCACAGGCCAAGGGAUAAGUGACAAGAAGUGUGUGUGCGUGCGUGUCUGUGUGUGUAUUCAAAAAUGUCUAUGAAAAUGGAAUCCUACACUUUUCUGUACAGAUAAUGUUAUUUGACGUGAGUUUAUAAUUUUACCACACAGAAACAAACUGCAACCCUUGGAGACUCUGCUUCCUUGUCAUGUUUUGCCUGAGCAUGUGCAGAGCCUUGCCUUUGCUCCAAACUGAAGAGCUACAUUUAUUUGUUAUUAGCUGACAAGAAAGGUCAAGCACAAGUAGGUGUUGUAACUUUUCACUGUACAAACUCUUCAAUGAUUGUGAGACUAAGCGAAUUUGUCUUUGUGAAUGGUAGAAUUGGGUGGAAAAAAUUAAGAGUAGCCAUCAAUUAAAGAAUAAAGUGAAGGUGGGUUGUCCAUCCUAAUGAGUUUUCUGUUGCACAUGCUUCUUCCCUGGGUUCCACAAUGCUAAGCAAUAUUUUAGAAAUGGAUGCAAUCACAAGCUUUUAAGUCUAAGUAGUGGGAUUUUGUAACUCACAACUUAGAUCUCUUUUCAUGUGUAAGCCAUAUUCUAUAUGCAUAUUAGGUAUGCAUUUUAAUUUAAGAUAUAUUUGUGCAUAGACUGUGUAUAAGAUGCUUUUAAAUGUUCUGUGAAUAAGUUCCUUAGAUUUUGUUUCACCUGAAGCAUAUGUAGAACACAGCUAAAUAAUUGAAUUGGGGCUUCCCUGGUGGCGCAGUGGUUGCGCGUCCGCCUGCCGAUGCAGGGGAACCGGGUUCGCGCCCCGGUCUGGAAGGAUCCCACAUGCCGCGGAGCGGCUGGGCCCGUGAGCCAUGGCCGCUGAGCCUGUGCGUCCGGAGCCUGUGCUCCGCAACGGGAGAGGCCGCAGCAGAGGGAGGCCCGCAUACCACAAAAAAAAAAAAAAAAAAAUUGAAUUGUAUCAUAGACAUUAUAAUGCAAUUGAUAUUUUAAAUGUAAGCAGUAAAGAUUGAUCUAUAAUGAUGUGUUGGGGAAAAUUUAUAGAUAUGUACAUCAUGGUGACUUUUUGUCCUACAAUGGAUUUCUUAUUUCUAUUUAUGGAGAAACUGCAACUACUGCUUUUAAUGUCUUUUUUAAGGUAGCUAUUUACAAGCUAGAAAAUAUUCUGCAUUUAAGCUUAGAAUAUGACUGUCAGGGAAGUCUAAUUACUAUUGUUCCUAUUUGAGCCAGGUGUCUCUCAGUAAAGCUAUAGAGUCUCUCAACAGAGAAAUAAAUUUAAACACUGCUUCUUAAUUGUCAUAAGAAACAUGUCCACUUUGUUCCCAUUAAUACUUUAAGAUAUAUAGACUAUUACUAAAAAAAAGAGGAAUAUAAUGAAGUCAUUAUUUUCUGUAUAUGGGGUUUAACCUAAUUUUCCAGGUUAUGUAAUUUAUAAAGCACUGUGACGGAACUUCCAGGGGAGUGGAGAAAACUCGCUCCAUCUCUUCAGAAGAGUUGUCACGCUAUUGAAGCACUUUUUUCCCCCUAAUCUCCCUCCCUCACUCCCUCUUUUGCUCCUUCCCCUCCCUUCUCUCCUGCUCUCCUUUGUAUCUGCCUUAUUCCUUCCUCCUCUCUCUCUCUCUAAGACAGGCACUAAUUCAUGUUAAUUAGCAGGAAGUCAGAGCAGAGGGUACCAGUGCUCAUCCCUUCUGCCAACAUCAAUGUUGAAUCCAUCCUAAAGAGAGGGAUGGAUGAAUUAGGCUGCUGAGCCUUAAAUGGCCUGCUCUGUAUUUGUAUCCUCAGCUACUCAACGUAUAUCUAACAAUUUCAUAUGCCUUUUUAUUUAGCUGGUAUCUCUUUUAUUUAAUUUUUAACAUGACAAGCUACAAUUCUUGUGUUUUUAUUCUGUAAUUCUCUGUAUUUCCUAUUGUAUAUGAUUGUUAAAUAAAUCAUACCUGAGGGAAAAUAUCAUGAACCAUUUGG